rnacentral:rRNA from 1 species
GACGAACGCUGGCGGCGUGCUUAACACAUGCAAGUCGAACGAUGAAGAAGAGAAACGCGAACUUCGGUUCAAAUUUCACUUCGGAUUAGUGGCAGACGGGUGAGUAACGCGUGAGCAACCUACCUCUUACAAAGGGAUAGCCUCGGGAAACCAUGAUUAAUACCAUAUGACACAUUCAUAAGGCAUCUUAAGAAUGUUAAAGCUACGGCGGUAAGAGAUGGGCUCGCGUCCCAUUAGCUAGUUGGUGAGGUAACGGCCCACCAAGGCGACGAUGGGUAACCGGCCUGAGAGGGUGAACGGUCACAUUGGAACUGAGACACGGUCCAAACUCCUACGGGAGGCAGCAGUGGGGAAUAUUGCACAAUGGAGGGAACUCUGAUGCAGCGACGCCGCGUGAGCGAUGAAGGAAUUCGUUUCGUAAAGCUCUGUUCUAUGGGAAGAAAAGGACUGUACCAUAGGAGAAAGCCCCGGCUAAAUACGUG